UUCGCAAUGCCCGAAAGGGUGACGAAGCGACGCCGCGUGUGGGAAGAAGGCCUUCGGGUUGUAAACCACUGUUGGGAGUUAGGAAGUGUGGAGGUGUUAAUAGCGCUUUCACUUGACUAAAGCUCCAGAGGAAGCCACGGCUAACUCUGUGCCAGCAGCUGCGGUAAUACAGAGGCGGCAAGCGUUGUUCGGAAUUAUUGGGCGUAAAGAGCACGUAGGCGGCUCUGCAAGUCAGCUGUGAAAGCCUUCUGCUUAACGGAAGAACGGCAGUUGAAACUACAGGGCUUGAGUGCGGGAGGGGAGAGUGGAACUUCUGGUGGAGCGGUGAAAUGCGUAGAUAUCAGAAGGAACGCCGGCGGCGAAAGCGGCUCUCAGGUCCGUAACUGACGCUGAGUGUGCGAAAGCUAGGGGAGCAAACGGGAUUAGAUACCCCGGUAGUCCUAGCCGUAAACGAUGGGCACUAAGUAGAGGGGUUUU
rnacentral:rRNA from 1 species